rnacentral:ncRNA from 2 species
GUGAACCAAAGAGGUGCAAGAGCGUAGUUAGAGUGUUGAAGAUCGUGAACAGGUCAUUGAAAACACUUAGAGGACGAACUUGCCGAAACGGCCAGACAAUGUUCACAGCACGGCCGUUGGGGUUUAGGGUGGAAGCCUUAAACACUGUCAUCUUAACGGAUUUAUAGGAUGGAGCACUUUGGGGACG